rnacentral:rRNA from 1 species
UGGGGGAUAUUGCACAAUGGGCGAAAGCCUGAUGCAGCGACGCCGCGUGGGGGAUGAAGGCCUUCGGGUUGUAAACUUCUUUUGCUCUGAACAAGGCAUGCCUUUGGGGUGUGUUGAGUGUAGGGGUUGAUUAGCGCCGGCUAACUACGUGCCAGCAGCCGCGGUAAUACGUAGGGCGCGAGCGUUGUCCGGAAUUAUUGGGCGUAAAGGACUUGUAGGUGGCUGGUUGCGUCUGUCGUGAAAGCUCAUGGCUUAACUGUGGGUUUGCGGUCGGUACGAGCUGGCUUGAGUGCAGUAGGGGAGGCUGGAAUUCCUGGUGUGGAGGUGGAAUGCGGAGAUAUCAGGAAGAAUACCAGUGGCGAAGGCGGGUCUCUGGGCAGUUACUGACGCUGAGGAGCGAAAGCGUGGGGAGCGAACAGG